UUACGGCCAUAUCAUGAAACACCGGUUCCCGUACGAUCAUCGAAGUUAAGCAACAUCGAGCCUGGUAGUAUCUAGGUGAGUGACCGCUUGGGAAUACCAGGUGUUGUAA